rnacentral:snRNA from 1 species
GAGUAUUAUCGCUGCUUUAGAAUUUGUGUAGUAGGUUUUCUGCCUUCGGUUGGAAGACCCAU